rnacentral:rRNA from 1 species
ACGACACUAACAAUCCUUCGGGUGCGUUAAUGGGCGUCGAGCGGCGGACGGGUGAGUAAUGCCUAGGAAAUUCGCCUUGAUGUGGGGGAUAACCAUUGGAAACGAUGGCUAAUACCGCAUAAUGCCUACGGGCCAAAGAGGGGGACCUUCGGGCCUCUCGCGUCAAGAUAUGCCUAGGUGGGAUUAGCUAGUUGGUGAGGUAAUGGCUCACCAAGGCGACGAUCCCUAGCUGGUCUGAGAGGAUGAUCAGCCACACUGGAACUGAGACACGGUCCAGACUCCUACGGGAGGCAGCAGUGGGGAAUAUUGCACAAUGGGCGAAAGCCUGAUGCAGCCAUGCCGCGUGUAUGAAGAAGGCCUUCGGGUUGUAAAGUACUUUCAGUUGUGAGGAAGGGGGUAGCGUUAAUAGCGCUAUCUCUUGACGUUAGCAACAGAAGAAGCACCGGCUAACUCCGUGCCAGCAGCCGCGGUAAUACGGAGGGUGCGAGCGUUAAUCGGAAUUACUGGGCGUAAAGCGCAUGCAGGUGGUUCAUUAAGUCAGAUGUGAAAGCCCGGGGCUCAACCUCGGAACUGCAUUUGAAACUGGUGAACUAGAGUACUGUAGAGGGGGGUAGAAUUUCAGGUUGUAGCGGUGAAAUGCGUAGAGAUCUGAAGGAAUACCAGUGGCGAAGGCGGCCCCCUGGACAGAUACUGACACUCAGAUGCGAAAGCGUGGGGAGCAAACAGGA